rnacentral:lncRNA from 1 species
UUCUACUCUGAAGGCACAGUGGGUGGGGCCCUUUGCCGUUCUCCCCUCCCUCUGCCUGGAGAGAAGCUAAGCCUCAGGACUAAUCCCGUGUGGGAAGGGCCAUGAUGUGUCUGCUCUGGGCAUUGAGGAUGCGGGUCCCUAUUGCCCCUCAGUCAGGACUUCCAUUCCCAGAAUUAGGAUUUGCCCCAAAUGGUUCAGCCCUUGCAUCCCUCUCCUCAACUCCUAGCUCUGCUUGCCUCUGACACUUGGGAUCCUGGGCUCCUGCAAACUAAAUAACAGCUGCCAUUGCUGGAGCCCCGCUGGGUGCGAAACACUCAUGGGCAUCUUCCCACUGAAUCCACACAACAGCCCUAUGAGAUAGAGUUUCUUUUCACCUCCCUUUUAGAGAGGGAAACUAAAGCUCCAAGGGGCUAAUUUGCCUGAGGGCACACAGCCUGGGAGAGCCUCUCUGAGCUACUGUGAGGAUUCAACCAUGCAUGUUGGUGCUUCAGUGGUGCCCACCAAACAGAAAGCCUUCUCCAGUCGGUUCUGUUGCUACUAUUGCUGUUAAUAUUAACAUUAAGCGAUGGAGUUGGCAGUGGCCCCUAUUCUGUCUCCCUGCAAAGCUGGUACCCACCAUUAACUCUGAGUGGGUCUGUUCUUGAAAAGCCUGAGGUAGUGGGGGCAGAGAGGGCUGGGUUCCCAGAUGUGAGGCAUCUCUGGGGUGACCGCUAAUCCACUCAGCACAGCAGGUGUGAGCCCACAGCAGCAGGAUUUCCUCAGAUCCACGAUGGCUAACUUUUCAACACUGCUCCUCCCCCUCAACAGGGCUUUCUUUCUUUUCUUCUGUUUUUUUUUUUUUCUUUUUGUUUUUUGUUUUUGAGAUAGAGUCUUGCUCUGUCGCCCAGGCUGAAGUACAGUGGCAUGAUCUCGGCUCACUGCAACCUCCGCCUCCCGGGUUCAAGUGAUUCUCCUGCCUCAGCCUCCGGAGUAGCUGGGACUACAGGCAGCACCACCAUGCCCAGAUACUUUUUGUAUUUUUAGUAGAGACGGGGUUUCACCACGGUCCCCAGGAUGGUAUCAAUCUCUUGACCUCGUAAUCCACCUGCCUCAGCCUCCCAAAGUGCUGGGAUUACAGGUGUGAGCCACCACGCCUGGCCCCCUUUUCUUUUUUUCCUACCAUUUACUACUUUUAAAUGUUGAAGAUUUUAAAGUAGAUUACAGGCCAGCGUGGUGGCUCACACCUGUAAUCCCAGCACUUUGGGAGGCUGAGGAGGGAGGAUCUCUUGAGCCUGGGAGUUCGAGACCAGCCUAGGCAACAUAGCAAGAUCCUGCCUCAAAAAAAAAAAAAAAGAUUCUAAACAUCAUGAUGUUCCACCCCGAAAGAGUUGGGUUCAUAUUCUCAAAAUAGGCUGGGCGUGGUGGCUCACGCCUGUAAUCCUAGCACUUUGGGAGGCCAAGGCGUGUGGAUCACCUGAGGUCAGGAGUUCCAGACCAGCCUGGCCAACAUGGCAAAACCCCGUCUCUACUAAAAAUACAAAACUUAGCUGGGCGAGGUGGCAGGCACCUGUAAUCCCAGCUACUCAGGAGGCUGAGGCAGGAGAAUCACUUGAAACUGGCAGGCAGAGGUUGCAGUGAGCUGAGAUGGUGCCAUUGCACUCCAGCCUGAGCUACAGAGCAAGACUCCAUCUCAAAAACAAACAAACAAAAAACCAUAUCUCUCAAAAUAAGAACAUUCUACCUAGCCCAAACAACAUUUUAUUACACACAAUUAUUAAUUUCUUAAUAUCAUCAAAUAUCCAAUCUAAAUUCCAGUUUCUCCAGUUAUCCUGAAACCGCCUUUUCCAGCUGCUCUGUUUUUCCAGGCUAGGACCACACAUUGCAUUUGUUCCCCUUUCAAUUCUCUUUUAAUCUAGCCCAGUCCUUCUCCUUGCUAUUGACUUGCUGACCAGUCUGGGCUGGUGUCCUAUAGAAUGUUCCACCUUUUGGGUCUAAUUACAUCCUCAUGGGUGGUUCCUCGAUACACAUUUCCUGUGAACUGGAGGUUAGAUCUAAACACUUGAUUAGAGUCACAUUAAACAUUUGGGCUGGGCAUGGUGGCUCACGCCUGUAAUCCCAGCACUUUGGGAGGCUGAGGCAGGCAGAUCGCUUGAGCCCAGGAGCUUGAGACCAGUCUGGGUAACAUAGUGAGACCCUGUCUCCACAAAAUAUAUGUUUAAAAAUUAGCUGGGUGUGGACUGAAGCAGGAGGAUCACUUGAGCCCAGGAGAUUGAGGCUGCAGUGAACUAUGAUGGUGUCACUGCACUCCAGCUUGGGUGACAGAGUGAGACCCUGUCUCAAAAAAACGCAAAGCACAAAAAACCACAACAUUUUGGACCAGACUACAUCAGAGGUGAUGUUUUUUCAUGGCAGAGGACACAUGCUAUCUGGAUGUCCCAUUAUUAGUAACUCUAGCAUGGACCACUGGCAUGGUUGAAGGGGGUCUGAUCCCACCAUUGUAAAGUCAUGUUUUCCUCCUGCAGUCGGAGAAUAUCCAGUCCCCCAUCAACUCCAUUUGCUAGUUUUUGACAAUUGCUAAUCCUUGCCUGAGUCAAUAAUUUAGUAAUUGCCAAAAAAAAAAAAGCUGACUUUUAAAUGCUAUGAUUCCUUUAACAUCUACUAGCUAUCAGCUAUCAUUUGUAUACUCUUUCCUUCAUCAUCUUGGGUUUCCCUGAAAUACAGUGGAAAGGCAAGAUAAAUACUUCAUUCUUUCUCUUUAGUUAUCUAUUUUUAAAGUAAGAAAUUAAUUUAGGCUGGGUACGGUGGCUCACGCCUGUAAUCCUAGCACUUUGGGAGGCUGAGGUGGGUGGAUCACCCGAGGUCAGGAGUUCGAGACCAGCCUGACCAACAUGGUGAAACCCUGUGUCUUCUAAAAAUACAAAAAUUAGCUAGGCAUGGUGGCAGGUUUCUGUAAUCCCAGCUACUCAGGAGGCUGAUGCGGGAGAAUCGCUUGAACCCAGGAGGCGGAGGUUGCACUGAGCCGAGAUCACGCCAUUGCACUCUAGCCUGGGAGACAGAGCAAGACUCCUCAAAAAAA